rnacentral:rRNA from 1 species
UCGGCGAAAGCCGGAUUAAUACCGCAUACGAUCUACGGAUGAAAGCAGGGGACCGCAAGGCCUUACGCGAACGGAGCGGCCGAUGGCAGAUUAGGUAGUUGGUGGGGUAAAGGCUCACCAAGCCGACGAUCUGUAGCUGGUCUGAGAGGACGACCAGCCACACUGGGACUGAGACACGGCCCAGACUCCUACGGGAGGCAGCAGUGGGGAAUUUUGGACAAUGGGCGCAAGCCUGAUCCAGCAAUGCCGCGUGCAGGAUGAAGGCCUUCGGGUUGUAAACUGCUUUUGUACGGAACGAAAAGGCUCUGGUUAAUACCUGGGGCUCAUGACGGUACCGUAAGAAUAAGCACCGGCUAACUACGUGCCAGCAGCCGCGGUAAUACGUAGGGUGCGAGCGUUAAUCGGAAUUACUGGGCGUAAAGCGUGCGCAGGCGGUGAUGUAAGACAGUUGUGAAAUCCCCGGGCUCAACCUGGGAACUGCAUCUGUGACUGCAUCGCUGGAGUGCGGCAGA